GAAUGUGCCUUCGGGAACCGUGAGACAGGUGCUGCAUGGCUGUCGUCAGCUCGUGUUGUGAAAUGUUGGGUUAAGUCCCGCAACGAGCGCAACCCUUAUCCUUUGUUGCCAGCGGUCCGGCCGGGAACUCAAAGGAGACUGCCAGUGAUAAACUGGAGGAAGGUGGGGAUGACGUCAAGUCAUCAUGGCCCUUACGACCAGGGCUACACACGUGCUACAAUGGCGCAUACAAAGAGAAGCGACCUCGCGAGAGCAAGCGGACCUCAUAAAGUGCGUCGUAGUCCGGAUUGGAGUCUGCAACUCGACUCCAUGAAGUCGGAAUCGCUAGUAAUCGUGGAUCAGAAUGCCACGGUGAAUACGUUCCCGGGCCUUGUACACACCGCCCGUCACACCAUGGGAGUGGGUUGCAAAAGAAGUAGGUAGCUUAACCUUCGGGAGGGCGCUUACCACUUUGUGAUUCAUGACUGGGGUGAAGUCGUAACAAGGUAACCGUAGGGGAACCUGCGGUUGGAUCACCUCCUU
rnacentral:rRNA from 1 species